rnacentral:rRNA from 1 species
ACAGAGGGUGCAAGCGUUGUUCGGAAUUACUGGGCGUAAAGCGCGUGUAGGCCGUUCCGUGUGUCAGAUGUGAAAUACCCGGGCUCAACCCGGGACGUGCAUUUGAAACUGCGGAACUUGAGUAUGGGAGAGGGAAGCGGAAUUCCCGGUGUAGAAGUGAAAUUCGUAGAUAUCGGGAGGAACACCAGUGGCGAAGUCGGCUUCCUGGACCAUAACUGACGCUGAGACGCGAAAGCGUGGGUAGCAAACAG